UCGGACAGGCAUGCCCCCCGGGAAGCCGGGGGGCGCAAUGUGCGUUCAAAGAUUCGAUGACUCACGGAAUUCUGCAAUUCGCAUUACUUAUCGCAUUUCGCUGCGUUCUUCAUCGAUGCCGGAACCAAGAGAUCCAUUGUUGAAAGUUUUGACUGAUCAA
rnacentral:rRNA from 1 species